GCCAGCCCACGAGGGACCCAGGCGAGCCAGACAGGAAGCGGCUGGGAGGCUCGGCUGCACGACCCUGCCAGCCCACUCCGGCUCUCUUCCCCCAGCGGCAGAAGGGCUCCCUGGUCUACCGGGCUGGACGGCAUGCUCUCCUCUCACCAGAUUCUGACGCUGAUGCCCAGCUAAGAGUUGACCUAGCUAAUAUGUCCACGAUCCCUAGGCAUCUCAAAGGAAACUGAGAACUUGGCGGAAAUGAAAUAGAAGCCCUAACAUAGGAAGAAAACCUUCAGUUUGCUGGGCUCGGGGAUAGCGGGUGGGAGGGAGUGAAACAUUGAGCAUCCUCAACACCUCUCCCAGGCUGGACUUUCACACUAGCAAAAACAAAGUUGACCCUGGGUCCCAACAUUGCAGAUUUUUGUUAUAAUAGGCAAUAUAUGCAAGAAGGUCAAAACUCAAAAUAUCCAAAAUGGUAGAACUGGAAAAAUCUGUCUCACUCCCCUCCCUACUGGCAAUAGCUGCUAGUAGGUGUUUUGUUUUAGUUGUUCUGGAGAAAAUGAGCUUUUGUGAAAAGCCUGCUCACUUCUGCCCCCACCCCCUCUCUGUUUGCCUGUUGACUCCUCUUGACUCCAAGAGGACCACCCAACUCACAUCAUUGCUUGAGUAUGCCCCGCUCCCAGCUUUCCUCUGCCGCUGAGUCACCAGGCUGCAGACUGCUGAUGGAUCAAGGACCCUCCAGAGCCACCGUGGAUGCUGGUGGGCUGACUGGUUAGUGGGUUGGUGGCUUGGCUGUGGCCCUCUGCCUGUCUGACUCACCUCUCCUUGAGAUGACCUCAACCCCCACCCCACCCCCUUCCCCAUGGUCCUCUGUCUCAUGAUCAUUACCCCUCUGGCUCUCAUGCCCCCAGAACUUUCUCAAAUCUUUCAAUGCCUGGCAUACCCUUUUCCCAUCUCCCUGGUCAGCCUCCACGAUCUUGUCUACACCUACUCAGUGCCCUGUCUCCCGCACCUACCACUUUGGUAGAUGUGCUCAAGAGUCCUUUGGCAUUUGUCCUAUUUCCUCUUCUGGGUUGUAAACUUAAUUUCUAGCACAUAGAAAGCAAGCAGUGAUUUUUGAGUUAAUAUCCCCCUUACUGUCUUCUUUUCUCACCCUCCCCCCAAAAGAGAAAAGAAUAAUAAACAUAAAAGUACA